GAACGCUGGCGGCAGGCCUAACACAUGCAAGUCGAACGGUAACAGGAAGCAGCUUGCUGCUUUGCUGACGAGUGGCGGACGGGUGAGUAAUGUCUGGGAAACUGCCUGAUGGAGGGGGAUAACUACUGGAAACGGUGGCUAAUACCGCAUAACGUCGCAAGACCAAAGAGGGGGACCUUCGGGCCUCUUGCCAUCAGAUGUGCCCAGAUGGGAUUAGCUWGUUGGUGAGGUAACGGCUCACCAAGGCGACGAUCCCUAGCUGGUCUGAGAGGAUGACCAGCCACACUGGAACUGAGACACGGUCCAGACUCCUACGGGAGGCAGCAGUGGGGAAUAUUGCACAAUGGGCGCAAGCCUGAUGCAGCCAUGCCGCGUGUAUGAAGAAGGCCUUCGGGUUGUAAAGUACUUUCAGCGGGGAGGAAGGUGUUGUGGUUAAUAACCGCAGCAAUUGACGUUACCCGCAGAAGAAGCACCGGCUAACUCCGUGC
rnacentral:rRNA from 1 species